UACGUAGGGCGCGAGCGUUGUCCGGAAUUAUUGGGCGUAAAGAGCUCGUAGGCGGCUGGUCGCGUCUGUCGUGAAAUCCUCUGGCUUAACUGGGGGCUUGCGGUGGGUACGGGCCGGCUUGAGUGCGGUAGGGGAGGCUGGAACUCCUGGUGUAGCGGUGGAAUGCGCAGAUAUCAGGAAGAACACCGGUGGCGAAGGCGGGUCUCUGGGCCGUUACUGACGCUGAGGAGCGAAAGCGUGGGGAGCGAACAGGAUUAGAUACCCCCGUAGUCC
rnacentral:rRNA from 1 species